rnacentral:rRNA from 1 species
CACGUAGGGUGCGAGCGUUGUCCGGAAUUAUUGGGCGUAAAGAGCUCGUAGGCGGUGUGUCGCGUCGGCCGUGAAAACUUGCAGCUUAACUGUGGGCUUGCGGUCGAUACGGGCAUCACUGGAGUUCGGCAGGGGAGACUGGAAUUCCUGGUGUAGCGGUGAAAUGCGCAGAUAUCAGGAGGAACACCGGUGGCGAAGGCGGAUCUCUGGGCCUUACCUGACGCUCAGGUGCGAAAGCUAGGGGAGCGAACAGG